rfam:Strongylocentrotus purpuratus Contig46030_fixed, whole genome shotgun sequence.
GCCUACGACCAUACCAUGCUGAAUAUACCGGUUCUCGUCCGAUCACCGAAGUCAAGCAGCGUAGGGCCUGGUUAGUACUUGGAUGGGAGACCGCCUGGGAAUGGCGGGAAUACCGGGUGUUGUAGGCA